rnacentral:misc_RNA from 1 species
AUUUUUUAUUAGUUAAAUAUACAUACACUCAGGUGUGAACAAUAACAUCAAUCACUUUCAAGAGCUUGGACAUUACAAGUUAGACGUUCAAAGGACAUUUGAAAUUUCACAUUCAUGGGCUGCAAAUUAGACUCGAUAAAUCCAAGAUAGCUCCAAUUGUUGUAUAAAUAGGAACCCUUGAGCCUUCACGCUCAAGUUGACAAAGCAAUAAAAUAUUACUAUCAAACAAAGGGUUUGAAACGAAAAUUACGACCUAUUUUCAAGUUCCAUCACAUGCACCCUUGUAUAAUCACCCAUUACAAAGCUUCAUAUGCCAGAUAAAACUAAAACAACAUUAUUAAACUACUCUACCUACUUCACAUUAUACUACAACUAUUGGCGUUUUCAUCACUGAAGACGUGAGUGUAGGGAUCUGCCAUAGGAUGCGGUGGAAUUGGUGGCGGCGGAAUGUAAUUCACAGCAGGAUGCGGCCGGGCAUACAUCAUUGGUUGAAACAUAUCAUUCCCAUUUUGCCUCUGCUGAUUCAUCAUCAUUGCCAUGUAUUGUUGAUUGUAAGGGUUGACUCCUCCCAUCCCUUGGUAAUAACCACCACCAUUCAUGGCUGCUGGUGCAGGAAGUCCAUGCACUGCAGGAAAAUUACCCAUUGGGCGCAUUUGGCCCAUCAUCUGCCCCAUCUGGCCCAUGUUUUUGACACCACCACCACUGUUAACAUCAAUUUCACGGUACCCUUGUUUGAUUUUGUUAGAAUCAUGGACCCCAUCAUUUUUGCCUCCGCCUUUCUUGGCCCCAUUGGAAUUA